UCUGAGAUUCAGUUGCGUGUGGUUUGUGUGGCGUGGUCUGAGUGCGGAGCUGUGCAGGUGGCGUCUUACCAUCCAGAUUCUUUCUUGGUUUCUGAAAUUCAGUUGAUAAUCCGCCAUCAGUGUGGGCAUCGUGUGGCGUGGUCUGAGUGUGGAGCUGUGCAGGUCGCGUCUUACCAUCUGGAUUCUUUCUUUGUUUCUGAGACUCCAUUGUAUUCUGUUUUCAGUGGGAACUAUGAAUUGGCAAGUGAGGUCAACAUUCAGACCUAGAGCAAGACGAAAUGAUGAAAAAUCUUUGCAGCUGGUUGGGCCUAUGGUUGCCCAGCAGCCUGACGCUGAGCCAAGUUAUGGCAAGGAGCCACCAACUGAGCGUCAGGAUAUUAUACCUGAUCAAGAGAAAAAAGAUGAAGGAGCAUCUGGGAUUCAAGGGCCAGCCCCGGAACCUAAUCAAAAGGAACCGGCUGGUGAGAAGACCCGGCGUGAGCGUGGAGAUGGUCCUGCUGUCAAAGGAAGGGGUCUUGCAAAUCUAGAGCCCCUGAAGAUGCCAGAGGCAGGCGAAUGGAAACCGAGGGUUUAAAUGAAGACAAGCUGAAGCCACAUGGGCAGUUCUGGUAUUGAAAAGUGGCUACAGUUCUCUCAUUAAAGUUCUGCAGUUUUGUCCAAAGAA